rnacentral:rRNA from 1 species
UACGUAGGGGGCGAGCGUUAUCCGGAAUUACUGGGCGUAAAGCGCACGCAGGCGGUUCGCCAAGUUUGGAGUGACAGUUGUCGGCUCAACCGACAAAGGACUUCAAAAACUGGUGAACUUGAGGACGAGAGAGGAACAUGGAACUCCAGGUGUAGUAGUGAAAUGCGUAGAUAUCUGGAAGAGCACCAAUGGCGAAGGCAAUGUUCUGGCUCGUUUCUGACGCUCAGGUGCGAAAGCCAGGGGAGCGAACGGG